rnacentral:rRNA from 1 species
AUACGUAGGGUGCAAGCGUUAAUCGGAAUUACUGGGCGUAAAGCGUGCGCAGGCGGUUUUGUAAGACAGUGGUGAAAUCCCCGGGCUCAACCUGGGAACUGCCAUUGUGACUGCAAGGCUGGAGUGCGGCAGAGGGGGAUGGAAUUCCGCGUGUAGCAGGGAAAUGCGUAGAUAUGCGGAGGAACACCGAUGGCGAAGGCAAUCCCCUGGGCCUGCACUGACGCUCAUGCACGAAAGCGUGGGGAGCAAACAGGAUUAGAUACCCUGGUAGUCCACGCCCUAAACGAUGUCAACUGGUUGUUGGGGAUUUAUUUUCUCAGUAACGAAGCUAACGCGUGAAGUUGACCGCCUGGGGAGUACGGCCGCAAGGUUAAAACUCAAAGGAAUUGACGGGG